AUUGAACGCUGGCGGCAGGCCUAACACAUGCAAGUCGAGCGGAGCGGAGGACGUGUGGGUAAUUCCUAGUAAUCUGCCUGGUAGUGGGUGGUAACUUCCGGCAAUGGGCGCUGAUACCGCAUACUAUCAAAUGAGCCUAGGUCGGAUUAGCUAGUUGGUGGGGUAAAGGCCUACAAAGGCGACGAUCCGUAACUGGUCUUAGAGGAUGAUCAGGCAAACUGGAACUUAGACACGGUCCAGACUCCUACGGGAGGCAGCAGUGGGGAAUAUUGCACAAUGGGCGAAAUCCUGAUCCAUCCAUGCCGCGUGUGUGAAGAAGGUCUUCGGAUUGUAAAGCACUUUAAGUUGGGAGGCGUUACCAACAGAAUAAGCACCGGCUAACUUCGUGCCAGCAGUCGCGGUAAUUC
rnacentral:rRNA from 1 species